UACGUAGGGACCAAGCGUUGUUCGGAUUUACUGGGCGUAAAGGGCGCGCAGGCGGCGCAUUUUGUCAGGCGUGAAAGCCCCGGGCUUAACCUGGGAACUGCGUUUGAUACGGAUGGGCUAGAGUUCGGGAGAGGAGAGUGGAAUUCCCAGUGUAGAGGUGAAAUUCGUGAGAUAAUUGGGAAGAACACCGGUGGCGAAGGCGGCUACUCUCGGACCGAGACUGACGCUGAGGCGCGAAAGCGUGGGGAGCAACAGG
rnacentral:rRNA from 1 species